UACAGAGGUCUCAAGCGUUGUUCGGAUUCAUUGGGCGUAAAGGGUGCGUAGGUGGCGCUGUAAGUCGGGUGUGAAAUUUCGGAGCUUAACUCCGAAACUGCAUUCGAUACUGCGGUGCUUGAGGACUGGAGAGGAGACUGGAAUUCAUGGUGUAGCAGUGAAAUGCGUAGAGAUCAUGAGGAAGACCAGUGGCGAAGGCGGCUUUCUGGUCUGUAACUGACGCUGAGGCGCGAAAGCGUGGGGAGCAAACAGG
rnacentral:rRNA from 1 species